rnacentral:lncRNA from 1 species
CACAGUGUGCACCUGUAGAUGGUCAGCCCAGUUCUUUCAGCUGCACCACCAGAGACACCCUUACUGACAGAAUAGCCUCUUCCCUCUGUGCAAAAUUUCUCUCUGUGCACAUUUUGAUGAUCUCCCCACCUCCCUCAUUUGAUUUCGGCUGUGCUUGUUGUUAUAAUUGUUUUACAAGUGUAUGUACAAACAGUGUGCUACCUCUUUAAAAUUUUCUAAAUACCUUGGGAACUCAAGCUUUCGGAGGAGGCUUCUCCAGCCACCUGUGGCUGCAAAACUGUGUGUGAAAACUUGGAGACUGUCAGGAGUGGAAGGGUGAUGUGUCCUGGCUCCCCGCCGUUCUAGAAUGAUAGGACAUUGCAAUAGCAGCAAAUUUGGAAAUCGUGUCUGACUUGGAUACUUUACUGAUGCAGAAACUGGAGUGUGGAGAAGAUUAGUGAUCUCACGUUCACCAGGUCCUAGCCUGAGUCCUUCCUUGCUCAAUGAGGAGUCUAAAGACCUUUCACGGCUUUGGAGUUAAGAGGGUGAAAGUAGAAUGAGUAAAAGAUGACAAAUUCCUACCUUUGCUUUCCACAUUAACCACUGCUUGAAGAUAUCAACAUGUCGGCCACACUGAAUAGUUUUAUCCGCCGUGUCAAAGUCAACAUUGUAGAGUUUACCUGACUGGAAAAGAUAUUCAGCUUGCAUCUGAUUACAUGCAUCUAGAAGGCCCUAAAAAAGGAAAAACAUAUCUAACAUCCUUUUGUCUCAUAUGAAAAAUGUGGAAAACAUUCCUCCUCAGUGUUAAAGACUUCAAGAAGCUUUCCUUUGGAAGAUUAAGAAAUAAUCACUAGAAAAGGACAUGUUACCCAUCAUUGAGACAGAAAUGUUUUCUCAGUAUGUAUGUUGCUUCAGCACAUCAAAACCUAAAUUUAUGUGCAUUGAUGGGGUAUAAUUUAAAUGUUAAUUAAGCAGAACUAUUUGUACAAGAGGUAAAUAACAUUAUAUGUAUUUAUGUGUUUGCUAUAUGCUUUCCAUUUCACAUUACAUCAUUUGAUCCUCAUGGAAAACUGAUGGUGUAGGUACUAUAAUGACAACAUUUUUAUAGAUUGAAGAAACUGAGAAUAUUAACAUGUUAAGUAAUUUUCAAGAACAUAUAUCUAUACAAUGAUGAAUUUGGGAGCUGAAAAAAGGGCAGUUUGACUUGAGGUUUGUGGAAACACAACAUCCUAAGGAAGAUAACUCACACUCUGUUUCAGGCUAGGCUUGUGGAUCUAUAGGAAGGACCACAAUGUGACGGUCAGUGUUGAAGUAUUUCAGGGAAAUAGAAUAGAAAUUAUAACUCAAAAAUGAAAAUAGUUUAUGAAUCUGUAUUUUGGGUGUCCUAUUUACACAUGUAAAUAUUUUCUUCUUAGGCUCUUUUGAACCCCCUUUUUAAUCUUUUGUUAGAGCAGGCCUAGAGACUAUUGUAAACACUUUAAAACAGUAUCAUCAAGAUGAGUUUCUGCACAGCAAAAGAAACUACCAUCAGAGUCAGCAGGCAACCUACAGAAUGGGAGAAAAUUUUUGCAAUCUACUCAACUGACAAAGGGCUAAUAUCCAGAAUCUACAAUGAACUCAAACAAAUUUACAAGAAAAAAAACAAACAACCCCAUCAAAAAGUGGGCGAAGGAUAUGAACAAACACUUCUCAAAAGAAGACAUGUAUGCAGCCAAAAGACACAUGAAAAAAUGCUCAUCAUCACAGGUCAUCAGAGAAAUGCAAAUCAAAACCACAAUGAGAUACCAUCUCACACCAGUUAGAAUGGCGAUCAUUAAAAAGUCAAGAAACAACCGGUGCUGGAGAGGAUGUGGAGAAAUAGGAACAUUUUUACACUGUUGGUGGGACUGUAAACUAGUUCAAUCAUUGUGGAAGUCAGUGUGGCGAUUCCUCAGGGAUCUAGAACUAGAAAUACCAU